GUGUUAAGACUGCGGAAACCAUUUCGAAAAAGUUUCUUUACCUCUUCUGGGCAGUCAAUCUUCAUCUCUUCCAAAUUACAGUAUUCAAGAUCUAACUCCUGAAGAUUCUCCAUGUAUGCUAGAUGUAAGACAUUGAACGGUGCACUUUCACAUUGGUAAACCCAUACAGAUUGCGUGAUGCUCACCAGCUUUGGAUAUUUCAAAAACUUUUGGACAGCAAGUGAACUUCGGAAGGUCCAGCUUAAAACAUUUAAACGCUUCAAACCCAGCAAUUCCUUCAUCAAAGGUUCAGCAUCAGCACAUAGAACGUUAGCUUCUUCUUCUUCUGUUACACUGCAACAACCGCACCCACGCAACCUGAGUACCUCCAAAUUUGAAAAGCCAGAUAUCAAUUGAUGUGGAAUUAUAGACAAAUUAAAUGCAUACUCCAAGUUCAAAUAUCUCAACUUCUCCAACGCCUUCAGCUCUUGCGGCAACCCAGUUAUGUCAGCCGAUGAUAGAUCAAGAUGAUGUAAUGAAACCAAACUUGAAAUCCCUGAAGGUAGUGUACUUAGGUGAAAAUUUUCACUGAGACUUAAUACUCUAAGAGACGACAUAGAUUGAAAGAAGCCGUCAGUGAUCUCCACAAUCGGAUUUUCAUCCACAAGUAAAGUUACGAGACGCGGACACGUGGGAAUUUCCGAUAGGCUUUCAAUUCCAUUUCCCAUCAGAGAUACCCGUUUGGCACCUUCCCAUUCUUCAAUCUUUGGUGCUUCGGUCAAUUUAACUCCAGCGCGAACCAGAAAGUUCUGCUCCUCCUUGUCUACCGUGCACGCUAUCCAUAAUGACAUCUCACGAAUCAUAUCGUGCAUCUUUACAUGAUCAUCGCCUUCUUCCUCCAAUAAGCAUGCUUGAAGAAGGUCAUCAAUAAAAUCGCAUCCAUCAUCAAAAUCAUAUACAAAUCCUUCACUAAUCCAGUAAUCAAUCAAUUCCCUUCUAGGAAUUUCGUAGUCUUCAGGAUAUAAACAACAAUACAGGAGACAGGAACGAAGUUCGUCCGUAGACAAACUAUCAUAGCUGAACUUUAAACGCGAAAACACCUCUUCUUUCAUACCUGAGAAUUUAGAAGCUGAUGUUGUCAUUUUGUGAAUUGCACGUUUCCAAUCUCCAACUUUCCUUUGGCUUUUCAUGGCUCGACCCACUGUUUUAAGCGCUAGCGGCAACCCACCACACUCUCUUGCCAGGGUUUCGGCUAGCUCUGGAAUACUGGUAUGACUGUCAAGAGUGGAUCUGUCGACCAUCUCCUGAAAUAAUUCCCAGGCUUUAUCAUGCGCCAAACUAUACACUUCCAACUUUUUAGCGUCCAUUUGAUCGCAAACACCAGCUGAACGAGUUGUCAAGACUAUUUUGGACCCAUCAUUUAGAUUUUGAAGAGGGACACCCAAUUGUGUUAAAUCAAUGCGCUCCCAUAUAUCAUCCAAUAACAACACAAACUUCUUUCCGCUUAAAAUUCUAGCGAUGUCCGCAGCCUUGUCUCGAAGACUUUUUUUCUCCCAGCUUGGGUCUUCUGAAAAGCCAAUCCUUUUUCCAAUGUCAUCUUGAAGUGUUGACGCAGCCGCCCAGAUAACAACAUCAAAAUUAUGCUGUUGAUGGCAGAAGUUGUUGUUGACUUGUUUUAAAAGGGUAGUUUUGCCGACUCCCCCUAUACCAUACAAGCCGAUAAUUCCCCUGUUAUUUUCCUCAUCAGUGAUACAUCGCCAAACUCGAUCCACUAGUAAUUCUUGACCAACAAUUGUUUGCGCAAGAGGUAAUUCAAUUGCUGCACCAUCUGGCGCCUUCUCAACAACGACUUCAAUUUUUUCUCCGUCCUUCCUUAAAUUGAUCACUCGAUCCGUCAACAUGACCACUUUUCUGCCGAAAUCGUAGCUUGAAGCCAAGUUUUUGGAACAGAGGCCUCCAAGGCACAAUCUAUCCAUUUCUUGAGCUUUAACUUGUUGCAGCUUCGUAAAUUCAUUUUCCAGUUUUUGCACAUCUUCAAGCCACCCUGCGACCUGGUUCGUUCGUCUGGUUCGAGGUCGUUGUUCUUCGACCUCAACCCUGGUCUUCAGAUCGUCCCUUGUUCGAGUCAAUUUGUGCAAUUCAGUCUCCAAGCCCUCAAGAUUUUUUUCGAGACCCCAUAUAUAUUUUGCUUGUUGACCAACGCAGUUUAAAGUUCGAUUAAAAAAGUCUGGUUGUAAGAAAGUUGAGAUUAAGUUACCCAUUGUCGUUCACGAAAAGAGGAAGAGAAGCGAUGGGUACAAUGAAAAGAAUUAUGCUGCUUUGGAGAGGGUUAUAUUUAGAGAAGCACAAUACCGAAAUAAAAAUAUGAUACAUUUGUUGCUUUAUAAUUCAUAUGUCAAAUAUCAAGAAUAUAAUGAUACGCUUACACGUCAUAUAAAAUUUGCAAUUCAACCCAGUAAUCACAUAGUUAAUAUUAAAUCUUAUCAUUUGUUAUCUAAGUGAUAAAUUUAUAUUGAUAAUAUAUUUUUUAGAAUAAAAAUUUUCUACCUUAACUUGGAUGAAGAUUCAAAAUAUUAAGUCAAUGAUAGAUAGAUAAAAAAUAAAAUAAAAUAAAUUUUAACAUUAAUUCCUGGAAUCUGUCACCAUUUUUUUCCCUUAGUAACAACCAUGUUCGCUUGAGAGACCACCACAACAUGAAUAAUUUCUUCUUGGUCGACCAAAUUGGCCUUAAGAGGCUUGUGAUCUCCCUUUCUAUACUUGCAUUUGAUAGCAAAAUGUCCACAAACAUAACAAUUGCCUUUUUAAGGAAUCAAACAAGACUUAAUUAGGCGAUAAACCAGUCUAUUGGCUAGAGCCACUCAAAGUUUGAAUGAAGGUAAUUUUUCUAUCAAGAGAAGAAUUGUAAUCCUUAGAAUAUUUGAGAUGAUUUUGAGUGGUGCCAUAUCAAAAUUGAUAUAUACUAAUUUUGAUAUAUAAUUAUAUGAUUAUAAAUAUAAUGAAUAAUAAUCUAAAAAAAAAUAGGCGAUAAAGUUUAUUACAUCCACGAACAUAAAGGUCACGUUCAAGUAAAUGUGACCGUUGGACGUUGACAGCCCCUAAAAAAGAACCAAAAAAAAUCUAAUUUGAUAAAACGACGUCAGGAUUCGAAAUGGUCACGGGUUAAAAAAUUUAUUGGAAGCAUAAUAUUAACGUGCGCUUGCUUCUUCCAAAACAGCAAGAGACUGAAUGCUGAGCCUCUCUGAAAAAGAAGCUGCGUUCUGUAAGACUGAAACGUUUAGCUGAGACCUUGUGUUAAUUUUUUACAACCCUAAACCCUAAACCCUAAACCACUUGCUCUUAAUUGUCACCCGCAUUACCGUAGGAAUAGGAUUUCUCUCUAUCUCAGUUUUACUAAAUUUUUAAAAAUUUAUUUUUAUGUGUCUUUUAAUUAUAGUAUAUAAAUAAAAUUUUAUUUUUUAAUUUUUUUAAUUUAUUAACUAUCAAUCAUUUUAAAUUAUUUAAUAUGAUCAGAUCAAAAGAAAAUUUUUAUCUUUUAAUUUAACUAUGUCAAUUAAUAUUACAUAUCCUAAUUUUCUUAAAUGAUGCGGCAUUUAUUAAUUAGACACUAAGAUAGCACUAUUAAUUUAUUUAUAUAUUUUAUAAAAAACUAUCAAUCACUUACAUUACAUACUAUAUUCUGAAAAAAAAAUUUGAGUUAUCUAUUAUUAUUUAAAAAGGAGGAGUAAUUUUGGUAUGCUAAGGUUAUUUCACAAACGUAAUAAAGAAAUUUGUGAUGAUGAACACAGUGAUAGGGCAAUUAUUGAAGCAGCAAUGACUUCGUCUGUUGCGCGUGGGAAAUCUAUUAGUAAUAUAAAGGAAAAUAAAAAGUACCCUAUGUCUUUUCAACUAUUAUUAUUUUUCCAAGGCGAACUAGCCAAAUAUGUAUGAUAAAUGUCCCUAAUAUUUUUUCUGUAAAUACAAAGACAAAUUAAAUUCAACUAGAACAAAAGUCUUUCACUGGAACCCAAUAGAUAAAAGACCAAAAUGAUAUCUAGACAUACCUCAUUGUAUAGCAAUGGAAGCUUACAAGUUAAAAUAGUAUUUAUAAUCUUUUGUAACUUUCAAAUUCUGCAUUGGAUUCUGCAACUCAUCAAGAUUAGCUUUUUAGAUCUCAUAUAUAUUUUAGCAUCUCCACGAAGGAAAAAUAAAAUAAAACUGCAAGAAUUGAGUCUGGUGAUAAGAAGCACGCAUGAGAAUGAUGUUACCCAUUUUUGUUAACAAAAAUUUCAAGGAAGAAAAUAAAGUGAGAAAGAAAGAAUUAUGUUUGUGAAAAUGGAAGAGAAGGUAGGAAUUGUAUUAUAAGACUGCAAUGUUAAGUGGCUUGGUUGUGUAGGUGAGACAUUUCAUCGAACUUCUUUACAUUUCCAUCAAACACCUUGUUCUUUAACCGUCUGUGACGUCCUUUAUACCCGUCCAUAGACAUUAAAUUGGCUGAUGUCAAGUGAAUUUGAGACUACAAAUGUGCAGCUCUUGCCUUAAUCUCCUUAGAAUCCUGAAGGGUGAAAACUUAUACCUUAUAGACUUAAGGUACGUUUAGGAUUGAAGUGUUAUAACUUUUAAGCUACAGUUGCUGUAAAAAAAAAAAAUUUAAAUAAUAAUUUUGAUGAAAUUAUUAAUAAUAAUAUAAUAAAUUCUCCAUUAUACAAGUGAAAAAUUAUAUCAACAUAUCUUUCAAGACACAACAAUUAGUAUUUACUAAACACUUUACUACUGUACCUUUUAAGGUACAGGUAUCCAACUUCAAUUCUAAAUGCACUCUCAUAUGUAUACCCUUUAUAUAAGGCUGAUAGAGUAAUGUAAACUAUAUUGUCCUUUUUUUCUUGUGUUAAUUGAAAUAAUUAAAACUCAAAAUUUGUAAGUGAGGCCACUUGAUUGCAGCAAAGGAGAGCAGUGAAGGGAAGAUAAAAUUUUACCGACAUUGAACUUGUUAUUUCUCUCUCUACUAUAUUGUAGUGUUUACUUUUUAGAGUGGGAGUUUGGAGUGUGGAGUGUGGAGUGUGGAUUCCUCCCACUCUCCCACUCUAGUGUUUACUUAUCUUAAAAAAGGGGGAAGUGGGAGUGGGAAUCCGUGGGUCCCACCCAAUUUUGGAGUGGGAAGUGGGAUUCCCACUCCCAUGGGGGGAGGUGGGAGUGGGAAUCCACUCCCCCCUCUUCCCAUUUUAUCCCUAUAAUUAAAUUAAUAAAUAAUAUUUAAUAAAAUAAAUAAUAUCAUAUUUAUUAAAAAUAAUAAUGAUAUCAUAUUUAUUUUAUUAAAUUUAAUAAAAUAAAAAUAAAUAAAUAUUAUAUUUAAAUUAAUAAUAUUAAACAUUAUUAAUUUUAAUAAAUAUUAAUUAAUUAUUUAAUUAAUAAUAAUAAAUAUUUUAUUCUAAAAAAAUAUUAAUUUUGUACUAUAUUAUCAAUAAUAAUAUUUCAUUUGUGUUGUUAUUAUUAAUAAUUUUUAUUCACAUAAUUUAAAUUAAAAUUAAUAAAAAAUUAUGAUUUACAUAAUUAAGAAUAUUAGUAAUUAUUAUUAAUUUAGAAAUAUAAUAAAAUAUUUAUUUUAUUUUCCAAAUAUUUUUUAUUAAUUUUUUAAUUAUAAAUUAUAAUUCUGUACAUAAGGAUAAAAUUGUAAUUUAAAACAAUUUACUCCCAAUCCAAGACAAAGUAAACAAAUAAUUAGGAUUCUGAUUGACAAUCUAUACUUUCACACCCUACUCUACACUCCUAAUCCAAGGAUUCCCACUCCUCAGGAUUCCCACUCCAAUCCAAAAAGUAAACGCAGCAUAUAUAUAUUAGCUUGUUGUUAAUUAUAAUCUUUGCAACCAAAUAAUGUAGAAUAUGUAUACGGGUGCGAAAUUUUCCAUAGGGAAUUCAGUGUUCGAUUUAAACUGCACUUUUAUAGUUUGUUCUCCAUUUACUCCUUACUUUCAGAUCUUUGUGACAAUCACAAUUUUGUCAACCAAAAUAAAGGUCGCAUUCAAGCAAAUUAAAUGUGACCUUUGGACAUUAGCAUCAACCUCUAAAGUGAUAGCAGUAACAAACAGCUCAGCACAAAUAAUUGAGGCCCUGCACUUUCAUUAGAGGAUGGGAGAAGAGAACACUUGAUUUGAUAGCAAGACGCCAAGACCAGGACAGAGACCAAGACGAAGACCGAUGAAAAGCCCUAAACAAACCAAAAAAUAAAAAUAAAAAUGCAGUUAUGAUUAUCGUCGAAUACUUCAAACAUACGACAAGUCCAAGUUUAGCUAAGGCCUAGUGUAUAAAUUUUCUACAAGCUGUUGAAUGAGAAAAUUUGUCUAAUUCUUAAGUCUUACCUGCCAAUCACAUCAUUUUAAAUUUAGUCUGUUGAGUAGAAUUUUACUUUUAUAAUUUUUAUCUCAAAAAUCUAUUUUAAAUUAUAUAAUAUUUAUUAAUUAAAUAAUAAAAUAGCAUAAUUAAUUUAUUUAAAUCCUAUAUUAAAUUAUCAAUCACUAAAUAAAUGACACAUUACAUACUAUAUUAUUUAAAAUAAAAAUUUAAAAUAUUUACCGUUACUUAAAAAAAUUAAUUUCCUUUUCCUAAAGUUAUUUCACAGACGCAAGUACAAAAUUCUGUGAUCAUGCACAAAGUGAUAGGGCAAUUAUUGAAUAAAUAUCUCACCAAAUAUAAUUAUAGCAAAUUAAAUAAAUAUUUACUAUGACUUCAGCAUCUGAGUUCCCACUCUAUAAAUAUGCCAGCAUUUUAAAACAAACAAGACUUAAGCGACAAAUACAAUUUUGUCGACGAGUAAAAAGGUCGCAUUCAAGCCAAAGGAGAAAUUCUUUCCAGUGGGAGGAUUCUAAAACCAAGAAUCCACUGCUGAAAUUUUAUUAACUGAAAAUAGAUAACGAUUGACACACCAGACAACAACAACAAGAUGCAAUUAAAUCUAAUGAAAAUUAAAAAAAGAAAAAAGAAAUACAUAUUCAAACAUAUUAAUGAAAAUCAUCCCCAAGUACGACACCGGAAGAGAAAGCAUUUUGGGUGGCUUGGUCCUCCCAUUGUAGCUCUUCCCACCAUUUUUUCGACCCCUCGAUGACAACUCGACGUUCCUUCGCGCUGCUGGAAUUGAGUGGGAGCUUCUUCAGCUGUCGGCAUUCACGUACUUCAAUUUUCUUCAGCUUUGGAAAGGGCAGGGGAUUCGGGUAAACGCUCUUUAAAUUUCUUCCCCACUUUAUGGUUAGAGAUUCGAGUUGUGCAAAAAAGUUAUGCUCUGACCCGAUUAUCUUCGAAAUAUCUCUCAAUUUAUCAACACUAAUUAUUUCUUCCGUUUCUGUACAAAAGACUAUACGCAGCUGCUUGAGAAUUUGAACAAAAACUAGCCACGUUAAGUCUUUCAUUUUUUUGCAACUCCAUAUGACAACUCUGUCGAGACUGCGGAAACCACUUUGAAAAAGUUUCUUUACCUCUUCUGUGCUGUCAGUCUUCAUCUCUUCCAAAUUACUGUCUGAAAUGCGUAACUCCUGAAGAUUCUCCAUGUAUGCUAGAUGUAAGACAUUGAACGGUGGACUUUCACAUUGGCAAACCAUUACAGAUUGAGUGAUGCUCACCAGCUUUGGAUAUUUCAAAAACUUUUGGACAGCAAGUGAACUUCGGAAGGUCCAGCUUAAAACAUUUAAAUGCUUCAAACCCAGCAAUUCCUUCAUCAAAGGUUCAGCAUCAUCACAUAGAACGUUACCUUCUAUUACGCUCCAGCGACCGCGUGAAAGCAACCUGAGUACCUCCAACUUUGAAAAGCCAGAUAUCAAUUGAUGUGGAAUUAUAGACAAAAACCGUGUAUAGUCCAAGUUCAAAUAUCUCAACUUCUCCAACGCCUUCAGCUCUUGCGGCAACCCAGUUAUGUUAGUCGAUGAUAGAUCAAGAUGAUGUAAUGAAACCAAACCUGAAAUCCCUGAAGGUAGUGUUCUUAGGGGAAAAUUUCCUCUUAGACUUAAUACUCUAAGAGAAGACAUCGAUUGAAAGAAGCCAUCAGUAAUCUCCUCAAUCCGAUUUCCACCCAGAAGUAAAGUUACGAGGCGCGGACACGUGGGAAUUUCCAAUAAGCUCCUAAUUCCAUUUCCCAUCAGAGAUACCCGUUUGGCACCUUCCCAUUCUUCAAACUUUGGUGCUUCGGUCAAUUCAACUCCAGCGCGAACCAGAAAGUUCUGCUCCUCCUUGUCUACCGUGCACGCUAUCCAUAAUGACAUCUCACGAAUCAUAUCGUGCAUCUUUACAUGAUCAUCGCCUUCUUCCUCCAAUAAGCAUGCAUGAAGAAGGUCAUCAAUAAAAUCGCAUCCACCAUCAAAAUCAUAUACAAAUCCUUCACUAAUCCAAUAAUCAAUCAAAUCCCUUUUAGGAAUUUCGUAGUCUUCAGGAUAUAAACAACAAUACAGGAGACAGGAACGAAGUUCGUCCGUAGACAAACUAUCAUAGCUGAACUUUAAACGCGAAAACACCUCUUCUUUCAUACCUGAGAAUUUAGAAGCUGAUGUUCUCAUUUUGUGAAUUGCACGUUUCCAAUCUCCAACUUUCCUUUGGCUUUUCAUGGCUCGACCCACUGUUUUAAGCGCUAGCGGCAACCCACCACACUCUCUUGCCAAGGUUUCGGCUAGCUCUGGAAUACCGGUAUGACUGUCCAGAGUGGAUCUGUCGACCAUCUCCUGAAAUAAUUCCCAGGCUUUAUCAUGCGCCAAACUAUACACUUCCACCUUUUCAGCGUCCAUUUGAUCGCAAACACCAGCUGAACGAGUUGUCAAGACUACUUUGGACCCAUCAUUUAGUUUUUGAAGAGGGACACCCAAUUCUGUUAAAUGAAUGGGUUUCCAUAUAUCAUCCAAUAACAACACAAACUUCCUUCUGCUUAAAAUGCUAGCGAUGUCCACAGCCUUGUCUUGAGGACUUUUUUUCGCCCAGCUUUGGUCUUCUGAAAAGCCAAUCCUUUUUCCAAUGUCAUCUUGAAGUGUUGACGCAGCCGCCCAGAUAACAACAUCAAAAUUAUGCUGUUGAUGGCAGAAGUUGUUGUUGACUUGUUUUAAAAGGGUAGUUUUGCCGACUCCCCCUAUACCAUACAAGCCGAUAAUUCCCCUGUUAUUUUCCUCAUCAGUGAUACAUCUCCAAACUCGAUCAAGUAAUAAUUCUUGACCAACAACUGUGUGCUCAACAGGUAAUUCAAUUGCUGCACCAUCCGGCGCCUUCUCAACAACCACUUCAAUUUUUUCUCCGUCUUUCUUUAAAUUGAUCACUCGAUCCGUCAACUCGACCACCUGAGUCCCGUAAUUGUAGCUUGAAACGAAGUUUUUGGAACAGAGGCCUCCAAGGCACAAUCUAUCGAUUUCAUGAGCUCUAACUCGUUCCAGCUCGGUAAAUUCAGUUUCCAGUUUUUGCACAUCUUCAAGCCACCCUGCGACCUGGUUCGUUCGUCUGGUUCGAGGUCGUUGUUCUUCGACCUCAACCUUGGUCUUCAGAUCGUCCCUUGCUCGAGUCAAUUUGUGCAAUUCAGUCUCCAAGACCCGAAGGUUUUUUUCGAGACCCCAUACAUAAUUUGCUUGUUCACCAACGCAGUUUGAAGUUCGAUCAAAUAAGUCUGCUGGUAAGAAGGUUGAGAUUAGGUUACCCAUUGUCGUUGACGAAAAGAGGAAGAGAAGCAACGAGUACAAUGAAAAGAAUUAAGCUAAUUUUUACUUAAAUUCUUAAGAAUUGCUGUCAAAUGCAAACAGAGUAUGAGAAUCAGGUCUUUAUUGAUUAUGAUGACUUGAAUGAAAAUGAAAUACAGAGCUUUGCUAGUUUACAUACAGAGACAAAAAAUAAUGACAGCUAGCCUAAGGGGUAUUACACGGAAGUAAUCAAAAUUGAUCCGUGAAUAUAGCAAUUGUGAACCAAUCACAUUAAGCUUCUAGAAGAUGCAACUAUUCAAUGCACAUGCGCUGCUAUUCUUCAACAUAACAGUUUUGCCAGCUCAACAAAUCCAACUCACAGAAUCAAGGUCAACCGUUGACUCUUCACAGCUGCUGCUUUCAACAAUUUUUAGAGAACCACAACACCAAAAUAAAAAUAUGAUACAUUUGUUGCUUUAUUCAUUAUGUCAAAUAUCAAGAAUAUAAUGAUACGUUUGCACGUCAUAUAAAAUUUGUAUUUCAACCAAGUAAUCACAUAGUUAAUAUUAAAUCUUAUCAUUUGUUAUCUAAGUGAUAAAUUUAUAUUGACAAUAUAUUAUUUAGAAUAAAAAUUUUCUACCUUAGGUUUGGAUGAAGAUCCAAAAUAUUAAGUCAAUGAUAGAUAGAUAAAAAAUAAAAUAAAAUAAAUUUUAACAUUAAUUUUUUAUUUAAUAAAAAGUAAAUUCAAUACAGAAUUCUAAUCCCUUAAUCUCUCUCCAUCCACGGCAAAAGAAAGCAGCAACUCAACUCUCUUUAAAGGCUAUGGAGGUUCUCUUGCGACCUCUCUUCAGCAUACCCUCCAGAACAUUAACCCCACCACCGCCAUCACCACCCUGUUAAACACGUUUUCAAAACGUGUAUAAUGUGGCCAUCUAAUUUAUUUUUAAUUAUUAGUUUUCUAAUUUAAAUUGAUAUUUAUCUUUAUUUAGUUUACUUUUAAAACGUUGGGUUUGGUUUAAAAUUUGAAUAAAGAUAAAACAUCUCUUCCUAAUAUCUCUCAUACACGUUACGGGUGGUUUACUAAAAUCAAGGGGAUAACGGCUCAUAACUUCCUCUUUUAUUUAAACUUGUCAUCUUGAUGGGAGAUGUUUUACGGUCACGUUUUUUCAAGAAAAAUAUUGAGGGUCCCUGGUCUAACAACAGAGCCUGUGUAUACCAUCUACUCUCAGGAAUUAAGUGUUGGAUAGACUAGAAAAUUCUGAGUACAAAGCAUGGCUUGUUUUCGUUGGUUUUGUUUGCAUUCCAGUAGAAAGGUUGUGUACAAUUGAAUUUGAUAACUAUGGCAGGAGGUAAGUUUUCUAACUUGUGCAUGAUGAAUAUAGUCUUUUACACCCCACCAAUCAUCUCACUCUCAAAACUCUCCAUUUUUGCCUCCAUUAAUUCCCACUCUCUCCAAAACCCUGAUUUCUUCCUCUUCUCGUUUCCUCUCGCCCGCCCCUGGUACGCCAAUUUCCAUUCUCUCGCUCUUUUUUUUGGCAAUUUUGGCUUGAGUUUUUUGGGUUUUUGGUAAUUUAUCUUUAAUUUUUGUGGGUAUCCUUCGUUUUUUUAGUUAUCAUACAUGAGUUGAGUAGUCGUAGACGAUUUUUUAUUGUUUUAAACUGAACGGAUUCUUUGUAUUUCGAAAAUGAAAUUCAUUGUUUGUGAAGUAACUUUUAAAGCUGUUGAGUUGAGUUUGAAAACUUAAUGUGCUUAAAUUUAUCUAUGUGGAUUUGAAUCAGUUAGACAAGCAGCACAGGAGAGCCAAUCGAGCGCGGAGGUGAAUGCCGAUAGAAGAGAAUGGUUUAUGCAAGGUACAUUAAUAGUAAUUUGAUCUGAUGCCAAUUUUAUUUCUAUAUUAAUUUAUUAGAUUAUGUAAUGUUAUAAAUUCUUUGUUCAAAAUGUAGAGCUUGGAAAUUUAGUCGGUACAUUAUGGUAAUGAAUGUAGCUUGUGUAUCUGUUCAAAUUUAUGUCUAGCUUUGCUGUUUUGGUAAUGGUUUGUUUAGUAUAAAUUUUGUGUUGGUUAUGAUGUUGUUUAGUGGUUUGGAUCACUCGUGCUCUUUUGGCCCCCACUAAAAUUAAUUUUUCAUCAAAGGAUAUGAAUAGUUGUUCGAUGGAAACUUAAUGGAAGAUGUGGGAGCAUCUUUAUGAGUUAAGAUUCCCUGUAGCGAGUAUAUCCUUUGGUGCAUGAGAGUUUAAGUGAUUAUCGUCAUUGUUGAGUUAAACAAUGGGAUUAAUUUUCAUGUUCAUGUAAGGUGAUCAUCGCUAAAGUUAGAGCCAUUAGGUGAUAAAUUGAUACUUCAUUGUGUUGUUAUGUUUGUUAUACUGGAUAAAAAUCCCAGUGAUAGAAUUCAUGUUAGGCGGUUUUGGGUCCUAUUCAAUCCCAAAAGAUGAAUAAGGGGUGAGGCUUUCCCUCACAAUUGUAAAAUCACCACCAUCCUAGUUCACAACCGAUAUAAGACAACCCAACAAUCUCUCCCGCACAUAUUGGGCCUUGGUUCAAAAGCAUGGACACUCGUUUUCACUAGUAGGCUGUUGGACUGAGAUGUUGGUGAAUCUUUUAGUUGAUUUUUUUUUUUUUAUAAAAAGGAAAAGAUUAUGAAGAGAUAAAUACAAUAAAGAAAAAAAGAGAUCAAUAUUGCAAUAAAACAUUUAUGUAGUGAUAUUUUAUAUAAGAAUAAUUUCAUAUAGCUAUAAAAGUAAUGGUCCUAAUUUAUAUUAGGCCAAUUAUAAAUAAGAAUAAAUUUCAUGCUGUAAUAAUUUAUAAUUUUGCUAAAUCUCACCUUAAGGAGCUCACCUCCACGUAGUGUAAAUAUAUAUAUAGAAAAAAAAAAUAUGUUAUAUUACAUUAAGUGAACUUGGGGGUUGUUUGGUACCCCUCUUUACCUGGGAUUGCAUUGUGUUAGCAAUGCAACCCCAUGUUUGGGGUACCAAAUGGCUAUAUUAGCUAAACUCGACAUAUAGUCGGGUUUAGCUAAUGCGUCCAGUUACCGCAUUAGCUUUAGCUUCCUCUUUUUUUUUUUUUUUAUACUUUGUAAUAAUGAUAAAUGAAUAUAAUUUUUAAUUUAAUAUUAUAUAAUAUUAUUUUUACUUUAUAAUUUUAAUAUAAAUUAAUAAAUUUAUUGUUUAAUAAUAUUAUAUUAUAUUUUAAUUUUUAUCAUAGUAAAUGUACAACUAAAAAAUGUAUUAUUUAAUUAUAUUACAUUAAUUAAUAUGUAAAAUUAUAUUAAUUAAUAUAUAUAAUUGAUUAAUUUUUAAUAAGUUAAUAUAACUAAUAAUAAAUACUUAAAUAAUAUAAUAUAAUAUAAUAUUAUUUAAUUUAUUAAAAUAAUUAAACUAGUUAUUUUUAAAUAAUUUAAUAUAACUAAUAAUAAAUAUUUAAAUAUGAAUAAAUUUGAAUAAUAUUAAUUAAAAAUUAAUAAAAUAUAUAAUUAUUAGAUUGUUUAGCACAAUUCAUUUUUUAGCACAAUUCAUUAGUAUUUUCUAAAUAUAUAAUUUAAAUUAGUCACAAAAAAUUAAUACAAUAUAGUGCAAUAUCAAAUAUAAUAUAAUUAAAAAUUAAAUAUAAUACAGUAUAGUACCAAACAUUAUACAACAUUAUUAUAAUACAUUACUAAUACAACACAACAUAAUGCAAUACACCUGCAUUAAAAUAAUGCAAUACAAUAUAAUAUAAUACAGCGUGCCAAACGCACUCUUGUAUCCAUAUAGUACAAAAACAACAUAAGAGAAAAAUGUUAAAGAGAACACAAAAGUUCAGAGACUUUUAAGAUAAUGUUUUAUAUUUGUAACAAGCAUGUGCUAACUUUUUUGAAACCAUGUAUAUUUAUUUUUUCCCUAAGUUACAUGCAUGUAACUUAGCAUUAGCCUCAUUUUAUUAUUAUCUAUACAUUGGAUUUGACAUGUUUCAUUAAUAAUUUAUUACUACAUCUCUAUUAAAAUAAUUGAGGUCCUGCACUUUCAUUGGAAGAUAGGAGAAAAAAAUAAUUGAUAAGAGAAGAAAACAAUUUAAAAUAAAAUUUUAAAAUAUUUAUCAUUACUUAAAAAAAUUAAUUUUCUUUUCCUAAAGUUAUUCCACAGACGGUAGUACAAAAUUAUGUGAUCACGCACGCACACAGUGAUAGGGUAAUUAUUGAAACAAAAAUGAAAUUUGUCUGUUUUCCAUUUGAAAUCUAUUACUAAUAUAAAGGAAAAGAAAAAUCUUUAAUUACUUUUUUUUUUUUUCAUGUAGGGCAAGGCAAACAUCACUAUCUUGUUAAAUUAAUAUUUAAAAUUAUCCCACCAAAUGUAAUUAUAACAAAUUAAAUAAAUAUUUACUAUGAGUUCAGCAUCUGGGUUCCCACUCCAUAAAUAUGCCAGCAUUUUAAAACAAACAAGACUUAGAGUGUGUUUGGGAUUGAGGUGCUGUAGCUUUUAAGCUACAGCUGCUGUGAAAAAAAAACUGUAAUUAUGAAACAAAAUUUAAUAAUAUAUAGUAAAUAUAAAUUUUAAAUAAUAAUUUUGAUAAAAAUAUUAAAGAUAUAAUAAAUUUUAUAUUAUACAAGUGAAAAAUCAUAUUAACAUAGCUUAAAAGCUACAGCAGCUAGUGUUUACCAAACACUACAGCUGCCCAACCUCAAUCCCAAACGCACUCUUAAGCGACAAAUACAAUUUUGUCAAUGAGUAUAAAGGUCGCAUUAUAAGCCAAAGGAGAGCAGUUAAGGGAAGAUAAAAUAUUAUUGUAUUGAACUGGUUAUUUCUCUCUAGGGGUGGCAAAAAAGUCUGGGCUGGUCUAGGCCCGCGGGCCUAAAGCCCGGCCCGUAAGGGUGGGCCCAGAUAUUGGCCUAAAAAUUACAAAGCCCACAUAUGUGGGAUCUGGACAAGGGCUUAGCAAAAAAGCCCGGACUUGGCCCAGGCUUUUUAAAUUUAUGAAUAAAAAAUAAAUUUAAUUUAAAUAAAAAAAGAAAAAACUCAAAAUAUUAAAUUAGUUUAAUUUUUUAUAUUAGUAUUUGUUAUUUUAUUAGGUUGUAUUAUUAAUAUUUUAUGUAUUGGACUAUUAUUCUAUUUUAUAUAUUAGAUGAUUAUCUUUAAUUUAAAUUUUUUCUUAAUUUAAAAAAUAUUUUAUAAUUAAUUUAAAAAGCCCAAGCCCGGCCCAGGCCCGGCCCGAGUUCGGUCCGUCCAAAUUUAAACGGGUUUUUGAAGGGCCUGGACUUCGUUUGAAUGAUGUGGGCUUGGGCCUGGGCUUUGAAAAGCCCGGCCCAAACCCGCAAAUUGCCAUCCCUAUUUCUCUCUCUUCUAUUAUUAAUUUGUUGUUAAUUAUAACCUUUGCGGGAUUUAAAAAAAAGAAAAAGGCCCUUGCGUUUUCAUCAACAUUACACUGCCAAAUGUGAAAUGGAUUGAGAACCACAUGUCCUUAUUAUGCUGCCACUCCACAAAUGUUUAUUUUCCCCUCAUUCUCCUUAGAAGCCAGAGGCAGAGUCAGUCCUGCACCCCUUUACGUAUGCCUUCUCCAUAAAUUAACAUAAACGAUUAGUAUUAGAGCUGGCAAAAUGGGUCAUCGGGUCGUGUUUGUAUUGUGUCAGCUUCGUGUCGUGUCAAAUUUAGGUCGACCCAUACUCGACCCAUUUAAUAAUCGUGUCAAAAUAUUGAGACACAAACCCGACACGGAAAAAUAAUCAGGUUAUCCAAUAACCCGCUAUCUAUAUAUUAAACAAAAGUUACAUCAAAUAUUUACACAUUUUCAUACAUACGUAUGCGCAUACAUACAUACAUAAUUUAUUGAUAUUAUAAAAUAUACAUAUCUACUAAAAUAUUAGACACACUAUUGAGGUUUUAAUUAUAUAUGUGUAAAUAAUAUUAUAUAUCAAUAUUAUAAAAUAUAUAUGUCUACGAAUAUUUUAUACAUUUAUACUAGCUCUAAAUGUAUUUAAAAAUUCAUAAAUAAAAUAUUAUGUCUAUAUUCAUCCUUUUAAAGAAUUAAAAAAAAUCAUCUCUAAUAUUUGAGUUUUGGUGACAAGAAUUUACAAAUUAUUUUAAAAUAGAAAAUAUAAUCGGGUCAUUGAUCGGGUAAAUGGGUCAAGAAUUUUAACUCUAACCCGACACGAAAAAAAAUCGUGUUGACCCGGACCCGACCCAUUUAAUAAUCGUGUUAAAUUCAACGACUCAUACCCAUUUAUUAGUGUUGUGUUCGUAUUGGGUAAUCGGGCCGUGUCAAAUUUUGCCAUAUCUAAUUAGUAUAAGAUGAUUUAACCACACAAUAUGUCAAAUUUACAUUUUGCAAUCAUUGAUACUUGGUGCUACAGUCAAAUUUAUAUUUAUUCAAGGUAGCGGGUUCAAUAAUUAAAUUCACAUAAAAAGAAAGAUGCAUUCACCCUUAAUGGCCCAGGAGCCAACCAAAUUCCGCGUCCGCGAAGUGAGGCACUUUUCUUAAAGUUAUUUCACAGACGGAAGAACAAAAUUCUGUGAUCACGCACAAAGUGAUAGGGCAAUUAUUGAAACAUAAAUAAUGUCUAUUUCCCAUCCGAAAUCUGUUCUAAUAUAAAGGACAAGAAAAAGUUUUAAUUAUUAUUAUUAUUAUUUUUCACGUAGGGCAAGGCAAACAUCACUAUCUUGUUAAAUUAACAUUUAACAUUGUCCCACCAAAUAUAAUUAUAACCAAUUAAAUAAAUAUUUACUAUGAGUUCAGCAUCUGAGUUCCCACUCCAUAAAUAUGCCAGUAUUUUAAAACAAACAAGACUUAAGCGACAAAUACAAUUUUGUCACCGAGUGUAAAGGUCGCAUUUUAAGCCAAAGGAGAGCAGUUAAAAGGAAGAUAAAAUAUUACCGUAUUUCUCUCUCUUCUAUUAUUAGUUUGUUGUUAAUUAUAACCCUUUUCGGGAUUAAAAAAAGAAAAGAAAAAGGCCUUUGCGUUUUCUAUUAGCAUGUGUACAUGUUUAUUUUCUGUGUUAGUAGUGCAGAGUAUAUACUGAACACACUGGACAAAAAGGGUAAUUUGUAAUCAAUUUAGUUUUAUAAACAUUAAUCUCGGAAGUAGUUACUGAACUUCAUGUGGAAAAAAAAAUAAAAAAAGAUAGUCGCUGAGCAAUAAAUCUACAAGUCAUCAAAAUCGAGCAAUUCUAUGGCAAGAAUUCUUUCCAGUGGGAGGAUUCUAAAACCAAGAAUCCACUGCUGAAAUUUUAUUCACUGAAAAUAGGGAACGAUUGACACACCAGACAACAAGAACAAGAUGCAAUUAAAUCUAAUGAAAAUUAAAAAAAGAAAAAAGAAAUACAUAUUCAAACAUAUUAAUGAAAAUCAUCCCCAAGUACGACACCGGAAGAGAAAGCAUUUUGGGUGGCUUGAUCCUCCCAUUGUAGCUCUUCCCACCAUUCUUUCUCUCCCUCGAUGACAACUCGACGUUCCUUCACGCUGCUGGAAUUGACUGGGAGCUUCUUCAGCUGUGGGCAUCCACGUACUUGAAUUUUCUUCAGCUUUGGAAGGGGCAGGGGAUUCGGGUAAACGCUCUUUAAAUUUCUUCCCCACUUUAUGGUUAGAGAUUCGAGUUGUGCAAAAAAGUUAUGCUCUGACCCGAUUAUCUCCGAAAUAUCUCUCAAUUUAUCAACACUAAUUAUUUCUUCCAUUUCUGUACAAAAGACUAUACGCAGCUGCUUGAGAAUUUGAACAAAAACUAGCCACGUUAAGUCUUUCAUUUUUUUGCAACUGCUUAUGACAACUCUGUCGAGACUGCGGAAACCACUUUGAAAAAGCUUCUUCACCUCUUCUGUGCUGUCAAUCUUCAUCUCUUCCAAGUUAAUGUCUUCAAGAUCUAACUCCUGAAGAUUCUCCAUGUAUGCGAGAUGUAAGAGAUUGAACGGUGCACUUUUACAAUGGUAAACCAAUACAAAUUGAGUGAUGCUCACCAGCUUUGGAUAUUUCAAAAACUUUUGGACAGCAAGUGAACUUCCGAAGGACCAGCUUAAAACAUUUAAAUGCUUCAAACCCAGCAAUUCCUUCAUCAAAGGUUCAGCACCAUCACAUAGAACGUUACCUUCUUUCCCUUUUAUUACCGAAAGCGACCGCACCCACGCAACCUGAGUACCUCCAACUUUGAAAAGCCAGAUAUCAAUUCAUGUGGAAUUAUAGACAAAUGAAAUGCAUAGUCCAAGUUCAAAUAUCUCAGCUUCUCCAAUGCCUUCAGCUCUUGCGGCAACCCAGUUAUGUCAGUCGAUGAAAGAUCAAGAUGAUGUAAUGAAACCAAACUUGAAAUCCCUGAAGGUAGUUUACUUAGGGAAAGAUUUAUUCGUAGACUUAAUACUCUAAGAGAAGACAUCGAUUGAAAGAAGCCAUCAGUAAUCUCCUCAAUCCAAUUUCCAUCCAGAAGUAAAGUGACGAGACGUGGACACGUGGGAAUUUCCGAUAGGCUUUGAAUUCUAGUUUUCAUCAGAGAUAUCCGUUUGGCACCUUCCCAUUCUUCAACCUUUGGUGCUUCGGUCAGUUUAACUCCAGCGUGAACCAGAAAGUUCUGCUCCUCCUUGUCUACCGUGCACGCUAUCCAUAAUGACAUCUCACGAAUCAUAUCGUGCAUCUUUACAUGAUCAUCGCCUUCUUCCUCCAAUAAGCAUGCUUGAAGAAGGUCAUCAAUAAAAUCGCAUCCAUCAUCAAAAUCACACACAAAUCCUUCACUAAUCCAGUAAUCAAUCAAUUCCCUUCUAGGAAUUUCGUAGUCUUCAGGGUACAAACAACAAUACAGGAGACAGGAACGAAGUUCGUCCGUAGACAAACUAUCAUAGCUGAACUUUAAACGCGAAAACACCUCUUCUUUCAUACCUGAGCAUUUAGAAGCUGAUGUUCUCAUUUUGUGAAUUGCACGUUUCCAAUCUCCAACUUUCCUUUGGCUUUUCAUCGCUCGACCCACUGUUUUAAGCGCUAGCGGCAACCCACCACACUCUCUUGCCAAGGUUUCGGCUAGCUCUGGAAUACUGGUAUGACUGUCAAGAGUGGAUCUUUCGACCAUCUCCUGAAAUAAUUCCCAGGCUUUAUCAUGCGCCAAACUAUACACUUCCACCUUUUCAGCGUCCAUUUGAUCGCAAACACCAGCUGAACGAGUUGUCAAGACUACUUUGGACCCAUCAUUUAGUUUUUGAAGAGGGACACCCAAUUGUGUUAAAUCAAUGCGUUCCCAUAUAUCAUCCAAUAACAACACAAACUUCUUUCCGCUUAAAAUUCUAGCGAUGUCCGCAGCCUUGUCUCGAGGACUUUUUUUCUCCCACCUUUGGUCUUCUGAAAAGCCAAUCCUUUUUCCAAUGUCAUCUUGAAGUGUUGACGCAACCGCCCAGAUAACAACAUCAAAAUUAUGCUGUUGAUGGCAGAAGUUGUUGUUGACUUGUUUUAAAAGGGUAGUUUUGCCGGCUCCCCCUAUACCAUACAAGCCGAUAAUUCCCCUGUUCUUUUCCUGAUCAGUGAUACAUCUCCAAACUUGAUCAAGUAAUAGUUCUUGACCAACAACUGUGUGAUCAAGAGGUAAUUCAAUUGCUGCACCAUCUGGCGCCUUCUCAACAACGACUUCAAUUUUUUCUCCGUCUUUCUUUAAAUUGAUCACUCGAUCCGUCAACUCGACCACCUGAGUCCCGUAAUUGUAGCUUGAAACGAAGUUUUUGGAACAGAGGCCUCCAAGGCACAAUCUAUCCAUUUCUUGAGCUCUAACUCGUUCCAGCUCGGUAAAUUCAGUUUCCAGAUUUUGCACAUCUUCAAGCCACCCUGCGACCUGGUUCGUUCGUCUGGUUCGAGGUCGUUGUUCUUCGACCUCAACCUUGGUCUUCAGAUCGUCCCUUGCUCGAGUCAAUUUGUGCAAUUCAGUCUCCAAGACCCGAAGAUUUUUUUCGAGACCCCAUACAUAUUUUGCUUGUUCACCAACGCAGUUUGAAGUUCGAUCAAAUAAGUCUGCUGGUAAGAAGGUUGAGAUUAAGUUACCCAUUGUCGUUGACGAAAAGAGGAAGAGAAGCAAUGAGUACAAUGAAAAGAAUUAUGCUGCUUUGGAGAGGGUUAUAUUUGGAGAAGCACAAUACCGAAAUAAAAAUAUGAUACAUUUGUUGCUUUAUAAUUCAUAUGUCAAAUAUCGCGAACAUAAUGAUACGUUUACACGUCAUAUAAAAUUUGUAAUUCAUUUCAGUAAUGACAGAAUUAAUAUUAAAUCUUAUCAUUUAUUAUUUAAGUGAUAAAUUUAUAUUGAGAAUAUUUAUUUAGAAUAAAAAUUUUGUGCCUUUACUUUGGAUGAAGAUUCAAAAUAUUAAGUCAAUGAUAGCUAGAUAAAAAAAUAAAAUAAAAUAAAAUAAAUUUUAACAUAAAUUUUUUAUUUAAUAAAAAAUAAAUUCAAUAUAAAAUUCUAAUCCCUUAGAUUUACAAGUGCAAUCAUUGAUGAUGUAAAGAAUUAUUAUUUUUUUGGUUAAAAUACUAAGAUAUGGACAGUCAAUCAUUAGCCAUAUGGAUUCAAUUUCUUGAUCGACCAAAAACCUUGUUUCGACUGAAAUCUAUACGUGCAAGUGAACAUAAAUGAACAAGCUUUCAUCUGGAUUUACAGAGUGUGAAGUAAAUGGUGCGCGGUUGGAGGGGGGGGGAGCUUAAAUGGCAUGUUUUAUUCAAACGAUGCUGCAACUGCAGUUCUUAGUAGUUGGAUUCAGAAAACUAAGCUUCGAUAUCAUGACAUAACAAAAGAUGCAAUAAAAAUUGCACGGACAUAAUAGUUGUCAUGCUUCCAUAACAACGUUACCAAGUCGGUAAAAGCUAGGAAUAACAAAACACAUAAAAGUAGUUUCAUAUUAGAGAAUAUCUGAAUUUCCUGGUUGGUGGAGUUUCUUUGAUGAUCUUGUUCGAAAGCUAAUACCAUUCAACUCUAAAAUGUACCUCAAAGUAUCAAUCAUCUCAAUUAACUAGCCACAAAGUUUCCUUAGCUUGCCACAGUUCAGUUGUAGCAAACUACCAAAGCCCAUUUGACAAGCAGCCACUCUUUGUUCAUCUGUCAGCUGUGAAAGUGCCACCGCUAAUCUAUCUGGAGUCCAUCUGGUUAAGAACUUUGCCUUUGCGACUGCUGACUUCACUAUUCGUUCGCAUUGACUUUGUAUUGACAUUUUUUACCCGGCGGUAAAUUCUUAAACAUGGAUUCAAUUUCCGUCCAGUACACAAUCAUGGCAAAUAAACUAACUACGCCUUCACUACUUGAAAAUACAAAUUUAUUUUAUUUGUAACGCAAGUCAUUCCAUCGCUUGCCUUAACCUCACGCACGGCUUCACCGCUGCAAUAUCAUCAUAUGACUGCGAAAUUAUAUAUCUCUAUAAUUUUGUGAUGCAUAUGCAUUUUGCUUUUCAUGCCCUUGCAUUACUGAGCUGAUUUAUAUUCUCUGCUUGCAGUUUCAUUCACUAAUAUCCUUUAAUUGUUGUCAACGUCUUCUGGUCUAUAUUUGAUGAGCAUAGUAAAUACCUACUUUUGAUGCUCCAUAUACAAGUAUUAUCAGUCUGUUGCAAAUAGAUGUUUAUCACUAAUGUUGAAAUCGUAAAAUUUUAGACAUACUAGAACCUAAAAUCAAUGAUCCAAAGAGCCAUCGCCGUUUUUUGGAGCAGUUCUUGCAAUAGAUUCCCACUGUGGUUUUGAUUAAUUUGGUCAUGAUGCUUGUGUGCAGUGAUACUGGUAGGAAAGUUGAUGAUCCUGAGGUGCUUGAGGCAAUUCGUUUGACAGUUAUAAACAAUCUACUUCAGUAUCACCCAGUAAUCAUUUUUUUGUCUCUCUUGAGAUAUAACUUGGUGGAGCACCUGUAGGAAUUGUCUUAUUGAAAAGCUUAUUCCAUUUGUGUUGGUGUUGGAAUCAGGAAUCAAGUUCCCAGUUUGCAAUGGGUGUUGCCUUUGGCGUUGAUCCUCCAAAACAACAGGUUUUUGCUUUCUGGUCUUAUUUUGAUUUUUCAGAUUAUUGAUAUUUUUGGCUCUUCUCAGUAGUGGAUCAUUUGAAUAGGAAACUAAGUUGUUUUUAGAGUUCUCUUAGGCCAAAUAUUACUUCACUUUUAUCCUCAUUUUAUUUAAAGACAUUAUAUUCAAUUUGCCUGCCAUUGAAAUUAAUAUCAUGUUGUCAUGAAUGUUAAAAACUAUGCAUAUGAGUUAUUAUGGGAAGGAUAAUGUCCCACUUCAAUCUUGUCUCAAAUCUUGUUGUGCUGGAAUUUGUCAGGUUGAUGUGGACAUAGCAACCCACAUAAGCAUCUAUGAUGAUGGCCCCAACCGAAGGUAAUGCAUAAUUCAUUCUCUUAUCUAGAUGAUGGGGCUUUUGCUAUCCACCAAACUUUGGUCCCACACUAUUACUACUCAUACUCCAGCCCAAGUGGCAAUUUCCUGCCCAUAACUGAAGUAGUCAGAUAAUUUGGCCCUUACUAUUUUUGUUUAUUUUACCUUUUGUUUUAUUGAAGUUUGCUUUUGGUGGAGACGGCUGAUCGACCUGGAUUAUUGGUGGAUCUUGUAAAGAUUUUUACUGUCAUCAAUGUCAAUGUUGAAUCGGGAGAGUUUGAUACUGAGGUAGUGAGGUAAUCUUUUAUAACAAACUCUAUAUAUAUAUAUAUUGACAAAAGAGUGGCCUUCCCUUAUAAAUAUAUUUUGUUCUAAUUUUUGUUUUCGCACCCAGGAGUUGUUGGCUAAGGCAAAGUUUCAUGUCAGCUACAAGGGUGAAGCCAUUAUCAAGCCUCUCCAACAGGUAAAAACAACAGGCCUACAUAUAGGACAUCGGAAAUUGCUUUAUAGAUUGUUUGCUCUGAAGAAUAAAGAGACUUACCAUUUCUACUCAAAAUCGGUAUUCUAGUUGCAAAACUGUUCUUAUAUAAAAGAUUUGAAUUUAAACUUUGAAGUGGGCGGUAAGAACAUUAACGUGCUAAUGAUCACACGGUGCACCUGAAGGCUUGGACGAUCGUUGAUGUACUGAUUAGACUUUGCUUGAUCAAAUUUGCAGGUUCUUGCUAACAGUUUGCGAUAUUUCUUGAGGCGACCAACAACCGAGGAGGCAAGUUUUUGAGCUCUUGUUGAAGACUCCACCAACCAAAUUCAGGAUUACACACACUUGAUGAAUUUUUUUAUUUCUCUCCCCAGUAAACAUUCACAAGGGGAAUUACAAUAUGUUGUCUCCCUAAUCUCCUUACAUAAAAUAAAUAAAACAUGAGAUAUAUAUAAACGGACAACAUUUUAAUGAUAUAUCAUAUGGUAAACACUUAUAAAAUAGAAACCUUGCUAAUUUUAUCAUCCUCAUCAAUUCAUAGUCCUUUUUAAAUAAUUUUCAAGUUUAGGGAUAUGAUAUAGCUGUGUUGUAUUACUCAUAUUAAUCUUAAGCCUAAAGUUUGCAAUGGGUUGAUGAGCAUACAACCUUUUUCUAUUCAUGGAUUAAAAUAAUAAUAAUAUUAUUAUUAUUAGUUUUUUUUUUUUUUAUGUGAACCUUAGUUUACAUCCUAAAUUUUCCUAUAUCAACAUUUCAUUCCAGUACGCAAACAAGAUACAUCACUAUGGUUUCUUUAAUUUCAUUCUGUUUUCAUGCUUUGAAAAUUAGCGUCAUGACAUUGAUUCAGCAACUUUCACAAAACAGAAACAUAAAGGAGAUUUUUACCAUGUGGCUUUGGUGCAUUGGUCAUCAAAAUCUGCACAAUUAAUUAUAAAGAAUAUACGAUGUUUGCGCGUGCAAUUAUGAACGACUCAUCUUAUAUCAACUUAAGGGCAAAAUUAUUUUAAAAUCUCUUUGUAUAUAUGUUACAAUGUCAUUAAUUUUUUUUGUCAAUGGUCAUAGUUUAUUUAAUUGGCUACCAUUUUUAAGUUUCUUAUGACAGUUAACGGGUGAGGUAAAUCGAACACUUAAUUUUUUUAUAUUUAUAUCGUCAAUGGUGGAUUCAAGAAAAUAAUUUAUCGAUGACUAAAUUAUAUGACGACACGAUUCGAAAACUCAAAUUUUAUAGGUUUAAUAAAAACUAAAUUAAAUAAUAGUAAACCACCUAUAUGGGUUACCUCAUAACUUUUUAUAUUUUAAUUAAAGUGUGGUUUUUGUAAUUCUCAAAAUUAAAAUUUUAUAAAUUUUGAAUUUAUAAGACUAUUUUUAUAAAUUUAACUUGCCUAUUUUAAUAUAUUCAACAGAAUUAAUUAAUAACUCAAAUAUUUUUUUUAAUUAUUCUCUCUGUCCCACUAAUCAUGAGGUGAAUCCACCUCUAUAUCUCAUUUUAUAUUGUGUAAUCUCGUUAUGACUAAAAAGUACCUCCCUUAGAUUCAACUACUUAUCUAGGGAAAGUUUUUAAAAGCUGAGUCCACAAGCCAUGUCCCAUAACUUAGAUGACUGAAAAACAAAAACAAAACAAAAGGGAACAAAAGAAGGCCAUGCGGCCCAUGCUCUGCAAUGAGUGCUCCCUAAUGAUCAAGAAAGAGUAUUAUAAUUUAAUAUUUAUCCAAACAGAAAAUGACGUACACGGGAACAAUAAAUGAUCUCCCUAGAGAUGAGAGAAAUGGAUAACAAUAUUCUCUUAUUUAACUUCACUAUAUAAAGAGCUCUCUAUCAAAAUCAUAAUUCAAUUCAUUCCACCCACAUUGUUUGGAAAGAGAGAAAGUGAGAGAAAAAAGAAGGAAAAUAUGACAGGAUCAUUUGCUAGAGGAGCUCCCACCUUUAACUCCAUGUUUUUCAAGUAAUGUUUUCAUUAUCUAUCUACUUUGCUAUUUCAUCAUUUCAUUUUGACAAUCGCACUUCAUUAUUGCAUGGUAUGUUUGUAAAUAAAUGUUUUCACUUUAUCUAAAUUAAUUUUGUUAUGAAACAGUUCGUUCGAAAUAGGCCUAAUAGUUUCAAAUUAUUUAUUUACUAAUUAUGAGUGGUUGGUUAAGUACAUAGAAUUAAAUGUUUUAUUAACUGAACCAAUAUGUCUCCACAGGGGCCUCAGGUUAAAAAAAAUUAUCAAGAAAUAUGAAAGUCUUCAAUUAAAUUUGUCUCUGUGUCUGAUAAUUUUAUUUUGUAGCCCCCAUAUGUUUAUAUUCUUGUGGUAUAACCUACUUAAAAUUUGUUGUUUCUGUAUGAUUGAUGACAUCCAAAAUCCUGAUUUCGCCACUGUCCACGCAAUAAUAAAAAGAGAUUGCUUUCAUUCAUUUGAGUGUUUGAAUAUUUUACUCUUUGUUUUUGCAUUAUUAAUUUGUUGAGUCUUUUUGAAACAUAUAGGCCAAUGAUGAGGAAAUCCUUUCAAAAGAAAACAAGUUCUUAUGAUAUGAUGAGAGAAACAACAUUGAAAUCCAAUGCAGAAGAAGGAAAUGUGAUGAGGAGCCAACAGUUGAAUAAUAAUGUGGGAGAAAAUGAAGGGAAUUGUGGUUGGGUUCCUCAUGAAAGAACUGGGAUUUAUUACCCAAAAGGCCAUGAAAAAGUUAUUGACGAUGUUCCUCCUAGCGCUGGAAGAGAUUUUGAAGUUAAUUGGUUCUCAGAAACUCAUGGAUAAUUUAUGGAUAUGUUUUUUUUUUUUCAAAUUACUACACAUGCUUAAAGCGAAAAGGCUUUCUAUUGUCUCAAAGCAAAAUCCGAUUGUGAAAAAAAAAAUUAAAAUAAAAUAACAAUAAUGGAAAAUGAAAUCAUUUAGAUUCAGCUCAAUGCUAAGCAUUCCAAAAUUUAAGUUUCAAAAGAUAUGACAAUCAUUUAUUAGAUGGUGGUUAAAUAAUUUUACAAGUUAUGAAAUCUAUCGUCUAAUAAAUGAAUAACGUGUGACUUUUAAGACUUAAGAAGUUAAGACUAAAAAAUUAGGAUCUUAAUAUUAUUCUUACUUUUAUAUCAUCUUUUUAUUUAGGUCUAUUGUUUAUUGUCGUCUGAUUCUUCAAGCUAAAUGUACAAAACUACAAAUGGAUUAGGUGGGCCUCGCAUGGGCUUAAUUUUUUGUUAUGGCUCAUGAGUGGUCCUAUUGGUACCCCUAAAAAACCUUCUCAAACCCUUCUUUUAUAAUCAUGCAUUUGUCCCUAUUUAAAUUUACAAUGAUAAACAGAAGAAAUUAAAUUUUAUUCAAAUAACUAGUCUCCAUAAUUACAAUCAUGUGAAACCAAAACUCGACUUAACAAUUUAUUAUUUAUUUUGACGAUAUUUAGUUGACAUUCCUUGUUUAUCAAAGCACAAUGUAUUUUCUUAAAUUUUGAUAAAAUUUUAAUUAUUUUGUUAUUAUUAUUUAAGAUGAAACCUUAAAAUAUCAAUAACCAAUGUUGGAUGUUGUUAUAAGAAAUUCUAAUGAAAAUAUUAUGGAAAUAGCUUUUAAAAUUAUAAGUUCUAAUGGAGAUAAUGAUUAUUCGAAAGUUGAUGCCAUCAGAUUUGGGUUUCAAGCUCCCCAAGACGAAGAAAAUGUGAAAAUGGGGUUGGUGUGUAAACCAAGGGUGUUUUUGGAAUCAACUUAUGUGGGUUUAGAAAUCGAGUGAGGCUAUAUACACUCUAAAAAUUACACUAAACACCAUAAUUUUAUAAAAAAAUUUAUUUCAAUAAUAUUUAUGGUAUAAAUUAUUAUUAAGGACAUGACAAUUAUUAAUUUUUUUUGUAUGACUAUAAUUACUUCUUUUUCAGUUAUAUUAUGAUGAUAUUAAACAAGUUUACAUUGGUUGCUUGAUUUUUUCUUUUGGCCAAAAAAUACAUGUCAUUCCACAAUACCAGAGUAACAUGGACAAUUAUUCAGACUCUUACAAACUAGUCUGCAACUGAGGCAUUACAACCCAGCAAACAUUUUUGCGACAUAAAAAUGUUCAGACAAAUCCAGAUUAAAAAAAAAAGGGCUUAAUUUACCAUCCUCUUUUGACAAACUUUGAAUUUUCUGACAUUCAAUUGGAGGUGGAAGUGGCAUCAUAGUUGUACUGAAGAAGAUCGUCAUAAGGGUCCCAGGCACCUACUCUGAAUCAUUCUUUCUUGUCCCUCUCUUUCAAGUCCUCCAUCAACCUCAAAAUCAUAUUCUCAGCAAUUAAAAAUUUCAUCUUCACUUCUCUUCUUGAUUCUAAGCUCAGAACUAUGAAGCGCAAGCUGCGUCUUUUAUUUAGCUAAAUGAUAUAUUGGUUAAUUGAUUUAUUUGUUCGGAUUAUAAUGUUUAUUUCUCACGAUCUUUUCAUUGGUGAAAUUUUUUGAUGGAUUUUUUUAGUUGCUCCUUUAUCAUUCUUCAUUUAUUGGAGAAAUAUAUUAUACAACCAAAUAAUUAAAUUUUAAUGAUAAAAGAGUGUUUAGAGAAAUAUUUUGAAUAUGUAAGGCGUUUUCAUGAGUGUGUUAGAGUAAAUUAAUUUAAAAAGGAUUAAAUGAGUACAUUUUUGGUACUUUAAGGAAUGUACAAAAUAUAGUUCAUUUUUUUAAAUUAAUAAAUAAGUGUAUAUAGUAAUAAAACUUUGAGAAUAAUUUUUAGACUACAAAUAACUCUGCCCUUAGAAAUAAUAUUAUUUUUUGAAUGAUUUAGUGGGCAUAUUGAAUAAAGAUUUUUAUGAGGGCUUUCAAAGGUGCGAUAGUUCUACUCAUGACUCAUUUUUCUGCUAUUAGGAUUUACUCUUUGUUUCGUACUUUCAUUUGAGUGGAGCUCUCUCUGUCUCUCUCUCUCUCUCUUUGGAAAUGGAAAGCUUCAAUCAAUCACUUCAAGGAAAAAGACUUACAUGAGUUGAAAUUUCCUCCAGCCAAAUUACACGGCCCGAAUUGUUAACAUCAUAUUUAUCUAAUUUAUGAGCGGUCUCACUACUACUGCUCAGUAUAAGAUUGAUUUUGAAGUGGUCUUUCACAACCAUACAAUUUCGAAUCUCGAAAAUUAACCAUGAUAUUUCUUUCAUACUUCUUUCAAAACCUUUCGCCAAGUUUAAAAUAGUCUUCGAGUCUGAUUCAACAAUUAAUGGCAUUAAACCAAAGUCUAUUGCCAUUUUUAUUCUAAAAUUCAUAUCUUCAGCUUUAGCAUAUUCAACGUCCCCAUGAAAAUCUAUAUUCUGAAUUCCUACACUCCAAAAUCCUUAUAAAGCUUGUUUUAAUUUUUAUUUAUCAAAGUACCUUGGUUUAAUUUAUAAAAUACUAAUCCAUAAAUUAAAAUUAAUAAUCUUCUCAUUAAAUUUCACCUUAAAAAGAUUAUAAAUUAUUAAAAGUUUCUAAAAAUUAUAUAUAUAUAUAUAUAUAUAUAUAUGAAAUGAGGUGGGUGGAAAAAUGUUAAAAGAAUAAUUUUAUUUAAGUAUUAAUUAAAUUUUCAAUCAAAAUAAAAAUGGAAUUAAUUUAUCUUUAAUUAUUUAAAUAAUUUUAAUUAAAGAGUUAUAAGGAAUUUAAAGGAGGGUCUUAUAGGGGGUGUCAAAAGGCUGCGAUCUAAUGCUUCCGUUCAUCACAAUCUGCUACUGCGAUUGAUCGCGAUCUGCAGCCGUGGUCGCGCUCGUCCUGUCGCCGUUUGUCGUCGCGAUCUGUUACCUUCGGUGAAGAGGAGCACAAUGUUUGUUUUGGGAAUUAUAAUUUUAUAUUUUAAAUUAUUAAUUUCUUAUAUUGUUUGGCCACUGAUUGUACAUUAAAAUUAUAUAGAUUGGUGUUUGUAUUAUUUCAUUGUUUGCUUAUUUGUUAUUAAUGUUAUUAUUGUUUAUUAUUAUUAUUAUUAUUAUUAUUGUAGUAUUAGUAGUUGUUAUUUAAUUUCAUUAUUAUCAUUAAUUAUUACUAUUAUUUAUUUAUAAUGUUAUUAUUAAAUUUAUUAUUAUUAUCAUUAAUACCAAAGGACAACUAUUAUUAUUAUUAUUAUUAUUAUUAACAACUAAGGGCGUUUUAGUAACUUAAAACAACUUAACAUAUUCCGAUUCCGAUUCUUAGAUAAAGUAAACACAUCAAUGGGGUUUUAACUCAUUCCGAUUCCAAUUCCGAUUGCUACAGUUUAAGUAAACAACUUAUUUUGAUUCUCAUUCCUCAUUUUCAUUCCGAUUCUAACCCAUUCCGAUUACUGACAAGUAAACGCAUUAUAAAGGAAAGGAAAAAAAAUUAAUUAUUUUUUUUACCAAAUAUAAUUAUAACAAAUUAACUAAAUAUUUACUAAGAGUUCAGCAUCUGAGUUCCCAAUCCAUAAAUAUGCCAGCAUUUUAAAACAAACAAGACUUAAGCGACAAAUACAAUUUUGUCGACGAGUAUAAAGGUCGCAUUAUAAGCCAAAGGCGAGCAGUUAAGAGAAGAUAAAAUUUUACCGUAUUAAACUUGUAAUUGUGGAUGCCUGGCCUGGUGUUAAAAAGGAUUUAGAGCCACAAAAAGUUUUUGACCAAACCAAAAAGAAGUAGCAAAGCAAAAAAAGGAUAAUAGCAAAGCAAUAAAUCUACAAGUCAUCACAAUCAUGCAACUCUAUAGCAAGAAAAAAAGAAAAAGAAAAAGGAAAUACAUAUUCAAACAUAUUAAUAAUAAGGAUCCUCCCAAAGUACGGCACAGGAAAAGAAAGCAUUUUGGGUGGCUUGUUCCUCCCAUUGUAGCUCUUCCCACCAUUUUUUCGUUCCCUCGAUGACAACUCGACGUCCCUUCGCGCUGCUGGAAUUGAGUGGGAGCUUCUUCAGCUGUCGGCAAUGAAAUACUUGAAUUUUCUUCAGCUUUGGAAAGGGCAGGGGAUUCGGGUAAACGCUCUUUAAAUUUGUUCCCCGCCACAUGGUUAGAUAUUCGAGUCGUGCGAAAAAGUUAUGCUCUGACCUGAUUAUCUCUGAAAUAUCACUCAAUUUAUCAACACUGAUUAUUUCUUCCAUAGUAAAACCCUGCAUAUUUAGCUGCUCGAGGUUUUGAACAAAAACAAGCCACGUUAAGUCCUUCCCUCUGCAAGACCUUAGGACAACUGUGUUAAGACUGCGGAAACCAUUUCGAAAAAGUUUCUUUACCUCUUCUGUGCUGUCAAUCUUCAUCUCUUCCAACUUAGAGGAUUCAAGUUCUAACUCCUGAAGAUUCUCCAUGUAUGCCAGAUGUAAGACAUUGAACGGUGGCCUUGUAUACGUGCCACAUUCAACCCAUACAGAUUGAGUGAUGCUCACCAGCUUUGGAUAUUUCAAAAACUUUUGGACAGCAAGUGAACUUCGGAAGGACCAGCUUAAAACAUUUAAAUGCUUCAAACCCAGCAAUUCCUUCAUCAAAGGUUCAGCAUCAUCACAUAGAACGUUACCUUCUUCUUCUUCU
rnacentral:lncRNA from 1 species